UUAGAUGAAGCCAAAAUAGCGGCGGUUUAUUGUUAAUAAAUUGAUUGUUUAAACAACCAUUUAGG
rnacentral:tRNA from 1 species